rnacentral:rRNA from 1 species
UACGUAGGGUGCGAGCGUUGUCCGGCAUUAUUGGGCGUAAAGAGCUCGUAGGCGGUUUGUUGCGUCGGCCGUGAAAACCUGCAGCUUAACUGUGGGCCUGCGGCCGAUACGGGCAGACUUGAGUUCGGUAGGGGAGACUGGAAUUCCUGGUGUAGCGGUGAAAUGCGCAGAUAUCAGGAGGAACACCGGUGGCGAAGGCGGCUCUCUGGGACGGUACUGACGCUGAGACGCGAAAGCGUGGGGAGCGAACAGG